GCUGGGUGCAGUGGUUCAUGCCUGUAAUCCCAGCAACUUGGGAGGCUGAGGCAGGAGGACUGCAAAUUUAAGGUCAGCCCUCAGCAAGUUAGUGAGAUCCUGUCUCAA
rnacentral:sRNA from 1 species